AUACUUACUUGCCAAGGAGGACAUAAUGAUCAAGAAGGUGGUCUUUCCAGGGCUAGACUCAUCCAUUGCACUCCAGAUUGCUGACCCCUGUGAUUUCCCCAAUGCGGGAAACUCAACUACAGAAUUUGUGAUAGUGGGUGACUCUGUUGGCAUUCUUCCCAG